CCAUAGGUUGCAUUAUAGUUCUUAUUCUUCCCAGUUUGAGUGUUUUCAUUUCAUUUCCUCAUAGUUUGAUGGCUGCUCCAAUUUCAGCCUCACUCUAUCUUAGCUGUCACUGCACACAAGCUCAUCAACAAUAUUACCCUCCAACUCGACCACCUCGCACGACAGGUGUCUGCAAUUGACAAGUCCAUUUCGAAUGGGGACACAGUACCUGAAAUUCAGAUUUCGACACUAAUUGAGAUGCUUAUGGGACAAGCAAUCAAGUUAAAAAGCAUUUCUACAGAAGGAGAUGUUUCUGCACAAAAAAGUGUUCAGGAAAAGAAAGUGCAGAAAUGUGUUGAAACAUUACAUUGGAUGCACUUAAGAUAUCUAAUGCAAGAAUAAAGCAUGUUGUUGUUACAACCAACUGGGAGACCUUUGAUCAUCCUCCUUCGUCGACUAAGUCUCAGUGGGAAAUAUUUGAUUGACUCUGCUUCUUUUUAUGUUAUUUUUAUUCCAACUCUUCUUUUUAUUUUAUUUUUAUUGAAAGUGUAAUCCAGUGCCUUAUAUUUCUUAUUCAACUUAUGAUC